GAUGAACGCUGGCGGCGUGCCUAAUACAUGCAAGUCGAGCGAACAGACGAGGAGCUUGCUCCUCUGACGUUAGCGGCGGACGGGUGAGUAACACGUGGAUAACCUACCUAUAAGACUGGGAUAACUUCGGGAAACCGGAGCUAAUACCGGAUAAUAUAUUGAACCGCAUGGUUCAAUAGUGAAAGACGGUUUUGCUGUCACUUAUAGGUGGAUCCGCGCCGCAUUAGCUAGUUGGUAAGGUAACGGCUUACCAAGGCAACGAUGCGUAGCCGACCUGAGAGGGUGAUCGGCCACACUGGAACUGAGACACGGUCCAGACUCCUACGGGAGGCAGCAGUAGGGAAUCUUCCGCAAUGGGCGAAAGCCUGACGGAGCAACGCCGCGUGAGUGAUGAAGGUCUUCGGAUCGUAAAACUCUGUUAUUAGGGACGAACAAAUGUGUAAGUAACUAUGCACGUCUUGACGGUACCUAAUCAGAAAGCCACGGCUAACUACGUG
rnacentral:rRNA from 1 species